CCUACGGGUGGCAGCAGUAGGGAAUAUUGCUCAAUGGGGGAAACCCUGAAGCAGCAACGCCGCGUGGAGGAUGAAGGUUUUCGGAUUGUAAACUCCUUUUGUUAGAGAAGAUAAUGACGGUAUCUAACGAAUAAGCACCGGCUAACUCCGUGCCAGCAGCCGCGGUAAUACGGAAGGCCCGAGCGUUAUCCGGAUUCAUUGGGCUUAAAGGGAGCGUAGGCGGGCGUUCAUGUCAGCUGUAAAAUCGCGCGGCUCAACCGCGCCCCGCAGUUGAAACUGGACGCCUUGAGUUCACAACAGGCAGGCGGAAUUCGUGGUGUAGCGGUGAAAUGCAUAGAUAUCACGAGGAACCCCGAUUGCGAAGGCAGCCUGCCGGGGUGCGACUGACGCUGAGGCUCGAAGGUGCGGGUAUCAAACAGGAUUAGAUACCCGGGUAGUC
rnacentral:rRNA from 1 species